rnacentral:misc_RNA from 1 species
CAACCCUCAAGCACUGCUUGGUAUUGGAUACUAUCACCUAUGGUGGUGUAUCCUAAAAGCAUUAGUAGUAGCAUUCUGCUUCUAGUGUAAUAAUUUUCUCACUUUGGAGUUUGAGUGACUGCUAAAAUAUUCAUUCAUCAAU